rnacentral:rRNA from 1 species
UACGUAGGGGGCAAGCGUUGUCCGGAAUCAUUGGGCGUAAAGCGCGCGUAGGCGGCCCGAUCAGUCCGCUGUAAAAGUCCAAGGGCUCAACCCUGGAAAGCCGGUGGAUACUGUCGGGCUAGAGUCCGGAAGAGGCGAGUGGAAUUCCUGGUGUAGCGGUGGAAUGCGCAGAUAUCAGGAGGAACACCGAUAGCGAAGGCAGCUCGCUGGGACGGUACUGACGCUGAGGUGCGAAAGCGUGGGGAGCGAACAGG